CCUACGGGAGCAGCAGUGGGGAAUUUUGGACAAUGGGGGCAACCCUGAUCCAGCCAUUCCGCGUGAGUGAAGAAGGCCUUCGGGUUGUAAAGCUCUUCCGCAAGGGAAGAAAACUUAUGAUCGAAUAAAUCAUGAGGUUGACGGUACCUUGAUAAGAAGCACCGGCUAACUACGUGCCAGCAGCCGCGGUAAUACGUAGGGUGCGAGCGUUAAUCGGAAUUACUGGGCGUAAAGCGUGCGCAGGCGGUUUUGUAAGUCGGAUGUGAAAUCCCCGGGCUCAACCUGGGAACUGCGUUCGAAACUGCAAGGCUAGAGUGUGUCAGAGGGGGGUAGAAUUCCACGUGUAGCAGUGAAAUGCGUAGAGAUGUGGAGGAAUACCAAUGGCGAAGGCAGCCCCCUGGGAUAACACUGACGCUCAUGCACGAAAGCGUGGGGAGCAAACAGGAUUAGAUACCCUGGUAGUCCACGCCCUAAACGAUGUCAACUAGUUGUUGGUAGAGUAAAAUCUAUGAGUAACGUAGCUAACGCGUGAAGUUGACCGCCUGGGGAGUACGGUCGCAAGAUUAAAACUUAAAGGAAUUGACGG
rnacentral:rRNA from 1 species